UACGUAGGGGGCAAGCGUUGUCCGGAUUUACUGGGCGUAAAGAGCGUGUAGGCGGCCACGCAGGUCCGUUGUGAAAACUGGAGGCUCAACCUCCAGCUGUCGACGGAAACCGUGUGGCUAGAGUCCGGAAGAGGAGAGUGGAAUUCCUGGUGUAGAGGUGAAAUGCGCAGAUAUCUGGAGGAACACCGGUGGCGAAGGCGGCAUCCUGGACCGAUAUUGACGCUGAUGCGCGAAAGCCAGGGGAGCAAACGGG
rnacentral:rRNA from 1 species